GCAAUUAGCUCAAAGCAAAGGCAUUUAUUGAAAUGGCAUUGUACAAGUUGGGGUGCUGUCUCCCACCAAUAUGCACAGCCUCAGUGGGAAGAAUGGGCUCAUGCAGUAGUAGAAAGGCACAGGGGCAAGGCACAUAGGUAACCAGGACAACUCACACAACAGGCCUGGGGGCUCUUUUUCUUAAUGGUGCCCCCACCAUGAAGGUAAGGUCUCAAUGUCUCUCCUGGUCCAGCUGUUCCACCGAAGAUGUCCUUCUUACUGUACUUGGGAAGAGGCCCAAGGGCAAAGGCACAAGUCGGGCCGGUAGGACCGGGAUGGGGGUGGUGCCCUGAGCAGUAAUUGGAAUGCUGGGAAGAGAGAGGGUUUGAAGGGAAAGAUAAGAGCGCCAGGCAGGGAAGAUCAGGGCUCAUGGAAGAGCCCAAGGACAAUUUGGGGCCGCUCCUGCCUCCCUGAAAUGAUCUUCCAUUGCCCUUUCUUGUUCAUACUGCGUGCCCACCUACGCAUGUGCAGUUUUCCUGCCUCCCUCCCUGGCCCUGACUCCUUGAGGACAGAGAGGCUUCAUCUUUGCCUUUGGAGCGCCUGGCACAAUGCCGGGCGGUCAGCCCCUCCACCUUCCUGAACCUCAGUGUCCUCACUGUAAAAUGAUGGCCUCUGAAGUCCCUUCCCACAUUAAAUUCACGAUUUUGGGGCCUUGGACGCUUAAGACACGCUUGCUGGUUGUCUGCAGGUAACCAGCUCUGUGGCCUUCUGCCCGCGGAGAUACUUCUGUAGCACUCGUGGCAGCCUUGGUUUCUUCUUAGUCUCCCCUUUUCCUACUCUCUGCCUGACAAACAGACAUACACACACACACACACACACACACACACACACACACACACACACACACAGAGGCACACACACACACAGAGGCACACAUUUGUUACAGGUGACCAGAAGAGGCUGUGCUUUCUUCCCGGGGGCCUCUAUGUCCUGUACUGACUCUACCUCCCUGCAGACGCCUCAGCCCUUGAAUCCAGAGACAGUUGGGGCUGGGCUGGAUUUUACCAAUUAUCUCCAGGAGAUGGUGAGCACCUCCCAGCCUCUCCUUUGGAGAAGGGCAAUCUGCUGCCAGGAGGACGGGCAAGGUCUGAGGCCACUGUCCCUCAGUCCCUCCGGUGACCUCCCAACUCUCUCUCUCCGCCUGGCUUUGCUUCAAACCCCACGUGAGGGCUGGCUCCAGAGCUCACCCCAGAGAAAACUGUGUCUCCUUCGCUCCGAGGGAAGGGAUGGACGUUCCGCUUGA
rnacentral:lncRNA from 1 species